rnacentral:rRNA from 1 species
ACGGGUGAGUAACGCGUGGGAACAUACCUCUUGGUUCGGAGCAACACAGGGAAACUUGUGCUAAUACCGGAUAAGCCCUUACGGGGAAAGAUUUAUCGCCGAGAGAUUGGCCCGCGUCUGAUUAGCUAGUUGGUGGGGUAAAGGCCUACCAAGGCGACGAUCAGUAGCUGGUCUGGGAGGAUGAUCAGCCACAUUGGGACUGAGACACGGCCCAAACUCCUACGGGAGGCAGCAGUGGGGAAUAUUGGACAAUGGGCGCAAGCCUGAUCCAGCCAUGCCGCGUGAGUGAUGAAGGCCCUAGGGUUGUAAAGCUCUUUUGUACGGGAAGAUAAUGACGGUACCGUAAGAAUAAGCCCCGGCUAACUUCGUGCCAGCAGCCGCGGUAAUACGAAGGGGGCUAGCGUUGCUCGGAAUCACUGGGCGUAAAGGGUGCGUAGGCGGGUUUUUAAGUCAGAGGUGAAAUCCUGGAGCUCAACUCCAGAACUGCCUUUGAUACUGAAAGUCUUGAGUAUGGGAGAGGUGAGUGGAACUGCGAGUGUAGAGGUGAAAUUCGUAGA